GCGAAGAACCUUACCUGGUCUUGACAUGUACGGAAUCCUCUGGAGACGGAGGAGUGCCUUCGGGAGCCGUAACACAGGUGCUGCAUGGCUGUCGUCAGCUCGUGUCGUGAGAUGUUGGGUUAAGUCCCGCAACGAGCGCAACCCUUGUCAUUAGUUGCCAUCAUUCAGUUGGGCACUCUAAUGAGACUGCCGGUGACAAGCCGGAGGAAGGUGGGGAUGACGUCAAGUCCUCAUGGCCCUUAUGACCAGGGCUUCACACGUCAUACAAUGGUCGGUACAGAGGGUAGCCAAGCCGCGAGGCGGAGCCAAUCUCACAAAACCGAUCGUAGUCCGGAUUGCACUCUGCAACUCGAGUGCAUGAAGUCGGAAUCGCUAGUAAUCGCAGGUCAGCAUACUGCGGUGAAUACGUUCCCGGGUCUUGUACACACCGCCCGUCACACCAUGGGAGUGGGGGAUACCAGAAGUAGGUAGGGUAACCGCAAGGAGUCCGCUUACCACGGUAUGCUUCAUGACUGGGGUGAAGUCGUAACAAGGUAGCCGUAGGGGAACCUGCGGCUGGAUCACCUCCUUU
rnacentral:rRNA from 1 species